UGCUUUAUCCUGACCUUAAUAUUACCUCC
rnacentral:piRNA from 1 species